rnacentral:rRNA from 1 species
GGGCUCGAGUUCACUCCCAACCCCUGUGACAUACCACUUGUUGCCUCGGCGGAUCAGCCCGCUCCCGGUAAAACGGGACGGCCCGCCAGAGGACCCCUAAACUCUGUUUCUAUAUGUAACUUCUGAGUAAAACCAUAAAUAAAUCAAAACUUUCAACAACGGAUCUCUUGGUUCUGGCAUCGAUGAAGAACGCAGCAAAAUGCGAUAAGUAAUGUGAAUUGCAGAAUUCAGUGAAUCAUCGAAUCUUUGAACGCACAUUGCGCCCGCCAGUAUUCUGGCGGGCAUGCCUGUUCGAGCGUCAUUUCAACCCUCAAGCACAGCUUGGUGUUGGGACUCGCGUUAAUUCGCGUUCCUCAAAUUGAUUGGCGGUCACGUCGAGCUUCCAUAGCGUAGUAGUAAAACCCUCGUUACUGGUAAUCGUCGCGGCCACGCCGUUAAACCCCAACUUCUGAAUGUUGACCUCGGAUCAGGUAGGAAUACCCGCUGAACUUAAGCAUAUCAAUAAGCGGGGGGA